UAAACUUAAAAAAAAAAAACAUGCUUUGAAUGAUACAUGCAAAUGGUGACCAAAUGAGGACACUUGAUUUCGUGACAAAAAAUUCGAUGUCUGCACCAACAAAAAUUGCAUUAUCAGUUAUUUUUACUCUCCUCUUGCAGUGCCAUUUGAACUGCUUUUCCUCCAUAGCUGUCUGGCAAAAGAAUAAAUGUAUCGAUCCUCGUUGAGGACAGAUAACAGUUACUCCCCAUGCAUCCUGCACCUGCAAAUUCCUCGAACAGAGCAAAACAUCAUUUCCCUCACUUGCGUGUUGUAUGCUGUGCAGGAUGAAAAAUCAGGUUGCUAAGCAGGAAAAACUCUCCCCUUCCGUGUUCAGCCUAUUUAGAAGAUUCAGAUCAUCAAGCAUAUGACUAAGUUUAGAGUUUUAUUUCUACAAAACUAUAUUUUAGACCAAAAUAUCCAACACAGCGAGGUGGGGCCGCUGAAACUCAGAGAACGUGGGACCAGAAGACAGGCCUUUUCAUGACAAGUCCAGAGAUCUCGCCACCAUUC